GCAGGGGAAGGGGGGGAACAAAACCCUAACAACACAAAAUCAGUCAAAUUGGAAAGGAAUUUGAGGGCUAAAUGAAUGCAUGAUCUAAGCACUAUGCUCCCCUAAGUGUUCCUAACAUCAAGAGUCAUGUCAACAUGGAUACAAACAUGGAAGUUCCAGGGGUCAAAAGUAAACAUGGGAGCUAUGCGUGAACUCGGAUGCACGAUGUUGCAUGGACAUAACAACAUUAUGGAGGAUAGAAGGAUUGAAGAUCGAGUCAAUAGCAAGCGUUGUACGGGAAGGAUC